rnacentral:tRNA from 1 species
GGCUCCAUAGUGGUUAGCACAUCUGCUUCUCAUGCAGAAGGUCUUGGGUUCGUGUCCCAGGUGGAGCCA